rnacentral:rRNA from 1 species
GUUGUAAGGUUAAGAAAUUAAGCGUACACGGUGGAUGCCUAGGCAAUCAGAGGCGAUGAAGGACGUG